rnacentral:rRNA from 1 species
AUGGCUGGGACCAUUGACCUUGCCCGGCUGAAUUAUGGGGUAAUCAAUCUCGUCCCUAAGGUGACGGGAACCUCGGACAUCCGGAAAUUUCGGCUGAUUACGAUGAUUAACAUCAUCUUCCGCAUCCUCGCGAAGGGGUACGCCAUUAGGGUGGCCCCUCUAGCUGACCGAAUCACUCACCCUGAUUAGUCGGCCUUCAUCCAGGGCCGCUAUAUCCUUGAUGGAGUCCUAGUGUUCCACGAAGCUCUCCAUGAGGUGCACUCCAAACACCUCAAGGCAGUCUUCCUGAAACUGGACUUCCACAAGGCUUAUGACACGAUCAGCUGGACCUUCCUUCGGGAAUGUUUGCUUCGGAAGGGCUUCGACGAUAGGUGA